UACGGAGGGUGCAAGCGUUAUCCGGAUUCACUGGGUUUAAAGGGUGCGUAGGCGGGUUAUUAAGUCAGUGGUGAAAGCCUUCAGCUCAACUGAAGAAUUGCCAUUGAUACUGAUGAUCUUGAGUAUGAUUGAGGUGGGCGGAAUGUGUCAUGUAGCGGUGAAAUGCUUAGAUAUGACACAGAAACACCGAUUGCGAAGGCAGCUCACUAAGUCAUAACUGACGCUGAUGGCACGAAA
rnacentral:rRNA from 1 species